CUUUUAUGGAGAGUUUGAUCCUGGCUCAGGACGAACGCUGGCGGCGUGCCUAAUACAUGCAAGUCGAGCGGAGCUGAUGAGGUGCUUGCACCUCUGAUGCUUAGCGGCGGACGGGUGAGUAACACGUAGGUAACCUGCCCAUAAGACUGGGAUAACCCACGGAAACGUGAGCUAAUACCAGAUAGGCAUCUUC
rnacentral:rRNA from 1 species